GAAAUAGGGAAAAUAGGAGAUUUGUGUAUAUCAUUUAAUUUGAUGUCCACAAUAUCAAAAUGGGUCUUUUAAAGGUGGUAUGUGUCCUUUUUUGUCUGUUGGGAACAUCUGUAGCAGAAAAUUACUACUUCUUCACUGGGAAAGAGGGAACUGUAGCAACAUUGGAUUGUAUGCAAGAAUAUGUUGGGUAUGAUGAUUACAGUGCCAGUGGAUACACCUACCCAGGACAUCCAUACAUUGUGGUGGAUGAAGUCCGAUAUACAUUUGAGGAUUGUCAACAUUAUGACAUAUAUGGUGUGAAGAACUUAUGCGAUAAUGAGACUACUUUUUCCUUUUUGAUUACUAAUGAAAAUGUUGGAAGUUCUUGUGGGACUGGUGGAGAUGCUGGAUUAUACAUACGCUACCACUGUGUUCGAGAUGGAGGCUGGACUUCUUGGAGCUCUUAUGGUAGCUGUUCUAGAUCUUGUGGUGGUGGAUACCAGACUAGGACACGAUCUUGUACUAACCCUUUGCCAAACUACUUCAGCAAGAAUCAAGCUUGUAUGGAUGAUAGGGAUUAUCAGACCAGAAGAUGUUACACAGGAACAUGUCCACACUCUGGUAGUGUUUGCAGAAACUACUAUUUUCAACCAACUUGUUAUGAUUAUAACACCAAAGGGAAGAUUGCUAUCACAUCGGCAACAUGGAAGGAAGGAUGUAGCUGGGAUUACACAGAUGUAUCCCAUGAUGUUGCUGGGACUAUUCAAAGCAGCUGUAAUAAUCAUUAUGAUUGCUCUGUUAAGGUGGAUGACAGUUUACAAUCCUGUUAUACCAGCUAUUACUAUACUGCAUAUACAUAUCAAGCAUAUCAAACAAGAUGGUGCCUCUUCGGUGUAUUUGGUGGUUUGAUCUGUACUGGUUACUACACUGCAUACAGAGUUGUCUCAUAUGCUGUAUUAUACAGACAAAUUUGUGGUGUAUUGUACUAUGGAUACACAUGUACAAUUCCUCAGUGGACUUUAUGGAGUGAGUGGGAUGGAUGUACUGUUACCUGUGGCAGAGGUACCCAGUCUAGAACCAGAACAUGUGAAAAUGAACAUACAACACUUGACGGUCAUAGUAAUGUUUGCGGACAAAGUGGUUCUGAAGUACAGACAUCAGAAACCAGGGAAUGUUUACUGGCAGGCUCUGUACCCUAUUGUGCUUACUGUGAUACUGGAACUACCCACAAGUACAUCAGUAUAGACUCCAUGACAUAUAGCAGAGAUACUACAUCAGGAAAUGCUGUCAUGCUAGAGAGUGAUAUUGACAUAGUCAGAUGUUGUGGAAGAAUAUCAUCCUUUCGAUUCUAUCCUAAAAAUGCUGGAACUGUGAAAUUUGUGGUAUUUAGACCUACUGAAGAUAUUGAUUAUAAGAGAAUUGCUGCAACUUACUCUGUCACAGUGGCUAGUGGAGAUUUGAACAGUAUGAAAACAGUUGUACUUGAUGAUGCAGAUAAGAUGACAAUUGCCGCAGGUGACAGUAUUGGAUGGUUUGAUAACGCUGCAAAUAUUAUUGCUUAUGAUACAUGUACUUCAACCUUGGAUCCUGAUGCCAACUCAGCUAUUGCACUCAACUAUCAAACAAACUACUGCCCAACAAAAACUUACAGACUGACCCUUAGUGAUCCAGUAGAUGGUGCUAGGAUACAGUAUACAACAGGUUCCAAAUACACAAGAUUUUAUGCCUUGGAAUACAAAAUCACAACAAAUACAGCACCAAUGUUAGCUAUGAGUUCUCCCACCACUGUGUCUAUACCAGACCAUACUCCCAUUGACACCAGAGUUAUUGACCUUUAUUUUAAUGAUACCGAUUAUGGUGACUGGUAUGUCAAUAUAUACUCAGAGAGUCAUUCAUAUUUCUACUAUGACUCUACACUAGACACAGUAAAUGUGAAAACUGUCUUACCAAAAACAAUUGGAACACAUGAACAGGUUCAUGAAUUUAUUGUGUGGGCAGAGGAUUCAUGCUAUAAUAGAGUCACAGGAACUGUUACCAUAACAACAUACAAUGAGCCUCCCUACUUCCCAGACUUACCAAAAACAGCUGUGGUUGAUGAAACUGACACAGGAGAUCUGGUACCCUUCACUGUUGUUGAUGAUUAUGGUGAUCCUACUGAUAACUGUAUGAUAUCAUCAACCAGUCCUUCAACAAGCAUGUUUGUUUUAAAUGGUUGGAAUGUUGCAUUGUCAAGUUCAGCUACUAUGAAUAAAGAUGCUGGUGCUGAGUAUACUGUUGAUAUAGAAUGUAAUGAUGGAACAGAUACCAAUGGUAGUUAUAUAGUGAUCCAACUUAGGAGGAAUAUUACAGAGGAGGGAGAACAUGAACUCCACUAUUAUUACAACCAAACAGAAGGACAAGUAGCAAUAUUAGAUUGUAGGGAUGAAGUCAGAAGUUAUGAUUCCUAUACAGAUUUUGUUCCCCCAGAAGAUGUGUAUAUAGUCAUAGAUGAGGUCAUUUAUACUUUUUUUGAUGGUCGAUGUAUUCAUACAGCUCAAUAUGGAGUUUACCAUCAGUGUGAGCGGGUACAUAAAACUACGUGUACUUUUGACGUGACAGGGUCAAAUGUUGCUAGCUCAUGUGGUAAUACACUUGAGAAGAUAGGUGGAUUAUUUGUUCGUUACCACUGUGUCAGAGAAGGAGCUUGGACUACAUGGGGAGAGUGGGGUGACUGUAGUAGAAGUUGUGCUGGUGGCUAUGUCCAAAGGUUUAGAAAUUAUACCAAUCCUGAACCAAAUUUCUUUGCUGAAAAUGUUGCGCGUGAAGAUGAACUUCAUUAUGAUACUAAAAGAUGUAAUACGCAUGACUGCACAUUCAAUGGAGCUACCUGUAGAGAUGAAACUUUCACAGCAGUUUGCAGAGAUUUUGAUACAAAUGGUAGAAUUUCAAUACUUGGCAGCACAUACACAUAUGGUUGUGCCUGGAACUACAACACAGCUGACCCGUCACAUGAUGUGACAUCAGCUCUUGAAUCCCACUGUGGCAAUCGUAACACAUGUCCAGUUGUUGUCAGUGACGGUAACAUGCAACAAUCCUGUAGUUUAAUGGAUUAUAUGACAGACAGUUUUACAUAUGAGUCAAUGUAUUGGUGUGAACAAGAUGGCUGGUAUUCAUGUUACUCUACGAUAUCAGACUCUAACAGGAAGUUGAAUUCUCUGUCAUACUGUGGGAAGCUGUACUGGGAUUAUCAAUGUACAAUACCUCAAUGGGCAAUGUGGGGUGAUUGGUCAUCCUGUACUGUAACAUGUGGUCAAGGAACUCAAACCAGGCAAAGGUCUUGUGAAAAUGACCAUACAACCCUUGAUGGAUAUAACAACUUGUGUUCUCAGGAUGGAUCAGAAAAACACAACCAAGAAACUCGGGGUUGUCUUCUAAAAGGCAGUCAGCCUUACUGCACUUAUUGUAUAGAUGAGUGGCAUUACCCUUAUAACCAAAUACCAGUAUCUAGCAUGGCAAAUGGUUAUAGCGAUAGUUCAUCUGGAAAUGCUGUUUUACUGGAGAGUGAUUAUGACAUUAUUAGAUGUUGUGGAUUGAUAUCACAAUGGGUAUUCCGUCCAGCAAGGUCUGGUUGGGUAACAUUUGUUGUAUGGCGACCUACAGGAUUUCCUGGUGAAGAUGAGUACAGAAAGGUUAUUGGAAUUAAUUCCUAUAAAGUUUCUACUGGUGAGGAAAAUACUGUAGUGACAUACACACCUGGUACAACAGAGAGGAUAGCUGUUACCAAUGGUGAUAUGAUUGGCUGGUAUGACAGUAGCAGUAAUAACAUCAUAGCCUAUGAUGAGUGUGAUCCAUUAUUAUCACACUCCACAACAGAUCAUAUCUACUUCACAAAGAAUUAUUGUCCUACAAAAACACGUAAAAUUACAAUAGGUACUCCUGCAGUUGAUAAUGUAGAAGAUUGGAAUAUUACAGCUCUGUCAGGGAUAGUUUUCGCUGUCCAGUAUUAUAUGGUUGCUAACACGCUACCAUACUUCACAUUGCCAGAGUAUACCAAAAAUGUACCAGAUUUUUGGACAAAGGACAUCAAUGUAAUGUCAUUCUACUUCACGGAUGAUGACUAUGGAGAUUAUUUUGCUGAUAUACACCCAGAUUAUGACCAUGAGUAUUUUUACUUGGACCCUACCAGACAACAAAUUCGUACAAAGACUGAUAUUUUCCAUGAACAUACAGUGCGCAAUCACUAUUACACCUUCGUUGUGACAGCUGUAGAUUCUUGUCACAAUCAAGUGACAGGAACUGUAACCAUAACAACCUACAAUACGCCACCUUUUAUGAACAAUCUGGAUGCAUCAGUGAACAUAUCUGAGUUUAUGACAUAUGGAGAGAUCUUUACUGUGGAUUUUGAAGAUAAAGAAAAUGAUUCUUUUACUUGGAAGAUUAAUAGAGUAGAUCCUUCAUCAAAAAAAGAUAUAUUUUAUUUUGAAGGUACAACAAUAAUGUUGGUAAAUGGGACAGUCCUAGACACAUCAAUUCUACAAUAUGAAUUACAAAUUCAAACAGAUGAUUAUGACAGAAAAAGAAAUAAAUAUUUGACAGUGGAUGUAAUAGUUACUCCAGUUUUAGAACCCAUAUAUUAUGAAUACAGUUCUGUGGAAGGUAACACAGCUUUAUUAAUGGAAUGUGCCAAUGAGGUCAUACCUAAAGAAACUUACACAGACUACAUUCAUCCUCUUGAUGUGUUCAUAGUUAUUGAUAACGUAACAUAUGACCUUGCUAGCCAUUAUGGAUGUCUUCAUAAUUUGACCUAUGGUGUCAAGGACAGGUGUGAUAACAAAACUACUUGUUCCUUUCUUGUUUCCAAUGCCAAUGUUGCCAGUCAAUGUGGAACAGAAGGGGCUGCUGCAUUGUGGGUCAGAUAUCAUUGUGUCAGAGAUGCAGCUUGGACGGCCUGGAAUAACUGGCAUGACUGUACGAGAACUUGUGGUGGUGGUUAUAGAGUAAGAUAUCGUAAAUGUACCAAUCCACCAGUCAAUUAUUUUGGCUCAAAUCGGAGCUGUGAAGACAGUAUAGAUAAUGAAUGGGAACAGUGUAAUACACAUAUAUGUCUUUAUAGUAGUGAAACAUGUCGAAAUGACUACUUUGAUCCAACAUGUUACAUUUAUGAUACCAAUGGAACAUUAGCCAUUACUAAAAGUAACUUCAGAGAUGGCUGUGCUUGGGACUAUAACACUGAGGAUCCAUUUCAUGUGGUUCUUUCUGUUGUAAGAGCAGAUUGUGAGAACCAUUUUGAUUGUAGUGUAUUGGUCAGUGAUAAUCUGUAUCCCUGUUAUACUGAUGAGUACCAGACAGUUAAUGAGACUUAUUUGGAAUAUCACCGUAGUGGUUGGGGAUGGCUUUCUUACACAACUACAAAAUGGAGAUACUACACAACGCGAGUGAUUUCAAUUUGUGGUGUCUUGAGAUGGAAUUAUACUUGCUUAAUUCCUCAAUGGACUCAAUGGUCUGAGUGGUCUGACUGUUCCCAGACAUGUGAUAGAGGAUUCCAGGAAAGAACACGUAUUUGUAAAGGGGAUACAGAAUCUGACACAGAGGAUGGUUACGUUAACAGAUGUGGACAGAGAUAUGAUGAAACUCAUACACUGGAGACGAGAGAAUGUUUAUUACUAGGGAAUCAUCGUUAUUGUACUUAUUGUGAAGACAGAACAUUUAUUUACGGUGAUGAAGUGCCUAUGAGAACUGCAGAAAAUGACACAGAUGAAGGAAAUGCCAUAUUGUUGAAGAAUGAUAUAGACAUCAUUAGAUGUUGUGGAUUAAUUGCUUAUUGGGAAUUUUUCCCAGUAAAUCCUGGAACUUUGAAGUUUAUAGUGUGGAGAUCUAUUGGUGUAGAUAACUACUAUGAAGUUAUAGGAACCAAUUCUGUCAAUAUCUCAGCCUCAGAUGUCAACAGCGUUUUUAUGUUUACACCUGACGAUUCUGACCGUAUUACAAUCAUAGCAGAAGAUUUGAUUGGAUGGUUUGAUGAUGGCGCCAAUAUUAUUGGCUAUGACAACUGUAGUUCUGCUUACAAUGCAUCAACAACUGAUCAUCGAGACUUGCGUCCAAAUUACUGCCCAACACAGACCUAUAAAAUGACAUUGGACAAGGAACCAGAAGAUGAAGAUGUGUUUAUGUUGUCUGGUAACCGUUGCAUUGACAGAGUGCAUGUUAUGCAGAUAACCACAGUAGAUAAUACUCCUCCAUAUUUCAACAUUUCAAGAUACGACAAGACAAUACCUGACCAUUCAUCUAUAGACUUUAGUAUUAUGGACCUUUACUUCAAUGACACAGAUUAUGCUGACUGGUUUGUUGAUAUUGAACCAGAGUAUGAUGAUGAUCCUUAUUUUUACUAUGAUACAUUUUCUAAAAGUGUACAUGUCAAAGAUGAGCUACUCCACAUCGUUGGUGAACAGAACCAAUACCACAAGUUUAUAGUAUGGGCUGAAGAUUCUUGUUACAACAGAGUAACAGGAACUGUUACAAUAACCACAUUCAAUGGACCUCCAACGUUUCCUAAUUUACCAAAGACUGCAUUGAUUAGCGAGUCUAAGACAGGUGAACUGUAUACAUUUACAGUCGAUGAUCCAUCUAACGGACCUGACAUUAUUACAUGUGAAAUGUUGAGAUCUAUUCCAAGCUCAGAAAGCCAUAAGUUUUAUCUUGAAGGGAAAACUAUUUAUUUGAAUGAAUCAGCUACACUUAGCCGAGAUUUAAUUCCUGAAUAUGAGAUUGUUAUAGCUUGUACUGAUGGGACAGAUACAUCAGAGACUUAUCUCAGAAUAGAACUAACUAAAGACCAAUCAGAUGCAGAGGCACCUCCAGGUAAGAUACAUCAGAGACUUAUCUCAGAAUAGAACUAACUAAAGACCAAUCAGAUGCAGAGGCACAUCCAGGUAAGAUACAACAGAGACUUAUCUCAGAAUAGAACUAAUUAUGGACCAAUCACAUACAGAGAUACAGAGGCACCUCCAGGUAAGAUACAACAGAGACUUGUCUCAGAAUAGAACUAACUAAAGACCAAUCAGAUACAGAGGCACCUCCAGAAUUUAUUCAGAUUGAGUCUGGUCUGCUGGCUUCCUUGUCAGUUACUGUAGUAGUGGUGGAUACAGUUACAAUGUACUCGAUGAUAAUGAAUUCAUUAGUCUUUGUUCCAUGACAUUGAUAUGUGUAAACAUUGUCUACACAGAAAUUCUGCUUUUCAGAAAUAAAUACAUGUGUUGAAGCAUAUAAAUGUUGUAUCAGAAACAUAUAAUACAAUAAUACAAGAGAUUGGCAAAUAGUAGAAAUCAUGUGAUAUAAGAUUACUUGCAAUUUGAUUGUUUUAAAUGUUUAAAAACAAAUCUUUAUUUUCUGAAAAAUCACAAAUAAUUUCUUAAUACCUUCAAUACCCUAUCAAGAAAUCGUUCAGAUUUCCAUGUUUUAUAAAGUCACAUUUGUACUAUCAAAAACAAAAAAGAAGUACCAACCACCCCUCUUUCUAUGAAUUUUCAAUACUGUGGAUUCAUUAUUAUUUUUGGAAUACCAAUUUUUGUGGAUUUUGUAUGUAAACCGCAAAUUUAAAUGUUCAAAGAAAUACAAAUUUACUAUAAGUUUCUCACUUUCUGUAGAGAUUUUGACAAAACCAUGAAAUCAAAUACCCUAAAAACGACAAUUUUUCCUUAAUCCACCAAAAUUGGUAUUCAUGAAAAUUCAUGUCAUUUGUUGACUUUCAUUGUUCAUAGAAUCUUUAUUUGAAAAGAUGCAUUUUUUCAAACCUUUUAAAACAUAUCUUGAAAAAUCUCAAAAUAAUAUGAUUAAAGAGAAGGAAUAUGUGAUUACAUGAAAAAGAGGUUUGAAAAAUAAUGAAAAAGCACUAUGGUAUUUCAAUAGAUUAUAUGGCCAUUUAAUGGAGUUGCCAAUCUCUUGUAUUAUAUGUCUCUGGUUGUACAAAAUAAAAUUAUGUUUAAGUGGUCACAUCUCUCAUUGUCACAUUAAAAAUUAUUGAUUCUACCACAAUACACUAUUGAGUAAGAUAUUUAUCAUUAAUAUUUGAAAAUCUACCACCAAGAGUUGAUAAAUAUUGUGAUCUACAGGGUUGAGUUGAUGAGUCUGCUUCUCUAUCAAAUAAAAAAAGUUAACUUAUUUUUAAGUUUCAUCUAUAGAAAUCUCAAAAAUACCCAAAUAUUGUGCACAUCAUAGAAUAUCACUCUAACUGGUUUAAAAGGAUUUGCACAUAUUUUUAAAAAAUUUUAAAUGAUGUUCAAUCAAAUAAUUUUUUCUAGCUCACCUGUCAAAAUGGGCCAAGUGAGUUAUCAACAUCUAUUAGUGUCUGUCAUCUUCAACUUUUCAAAAAUCUUCUCCUAAAACUACUUUACAAAUUUCAACUUAACUUGGACUCAAUAAUUCUUGAUCCUUUAAUUUGGUAUCUUAUAUAAAGUUUGACAGUAUGCUCCUGAUCAGUUAGUUAUUGCACUUAUGAUAACAGCUAGUGUCUUAAAUUUUGUAUAGGGGUUAACACAUAUUUAAAUUGUAUAUAAAUUAGAGAAACUGUUUUAUAAUAUGUAUAUAUGGAUUGGACUGUAUAAAUAGUGUUGCACAAAGUGAAAUUAAGAAAUCCUGUGUGUAGUCAGUUCUCUACUUGUUCUCUAAUAAUGGCGAUUUUGAAAGAAAAUUUUUGUUCUCCUUUAAUAUGCAAAUCAUUGAAGAGCAUUAAGACUAAAUACUCUGUAGAAACAAGCUUUUUUUACAAUGUAUUCUUUAAAAGAAAACUUCAUGCGUUAGGUCAUCCCCUUUAUACAGAUGACUGUAAACAAAUAUGUAGUGUCUUUAUUAUAUUUAUAACAUUGUAUCAUUUCAUCAUAAAAUCAUGCAAGAUAUAUAGAACCAUUCAAGGAAACAUUUUCCUUUGAGAUUGUGCAAAUUCUUUCCUAUCAAAUAGUGAAGUUUUUUUUAUGUUGUUUUAUAAUUUUAAUCAGUUGAGUAUUUUUGUGAAUACAAAUUUAGUGUUUU